UGGCUCUGUUGGUAGAGCAUGGUGUUUGCAACGCCAGGGUUGUGGGUUCGAUUCCCAC
rfam:Salmo salar isolate Sally breed double haploid chromosome ssa21, whole genome shotgun sequence.